rnacentral:rRNA from 1 species
GGAAUCUUGCACAAUGGAGGAAACUCUGAUGCAGCGAUGCCGCGUGAGUGAAGAAGGCCUUUGGGUUGUAAAGCUCUUUUGUAGGGGAAGAUAAUGACUGUACCCUAAGAAUAAGGUCCGGCUAACUUCGUGCCAGCAGCCGCGGUAAUACGAAGGGACCUAGCGUAGUUCGGAAUUACUGGGCGUAAAGCGCGCGUAGGCCGUUGAGUUAGUUAAUUGUGAAAUCCCAAAGCUUAACUUUGGAACUGCAAUUAAAACUGCUCGACUAGAGUUUGAUAGAGGAAAGCGGAAUACAUAGUGUAGAGGUGAAAUUCGUAGAUAUUAUGUAGAACACCAGUUGCGAAGGCGGCUUUCUGGAUCAAUACUGACGCUGAGGCGCGAAAGUAUGGGUAGCAAAGAGGAUUAGAUACCCUCGUAGUCCAUACCAUAAACGAUGAUUGCUAGAUGUUGGAAAUUUAUUUUCAGUAUCGCAGCUAACGCAUUAAGCAAUCCGCCUGGGGAGUACGACCGCAAGGUUAAAACUCAAAUGAAUUGACGG